rnacentral:lncRNA from 1 species
ACAAGCUGAAAUAUCAAAGUAAAGCGCUAAUUCUAGGCUAACAUGAUUCAUGGCGAAGAAAAUCCAGUGCUUGCUGCCAUUAAAAAUUAUACACCAUCAAAAUUCUUGGUUUACAGUGGAUUAGCUAUGAAACCAUUUCCCACAUCAAAACAGGUAAAACCUAAAGAAAACAACUCCGGCACUUACUCUUCCUUUGCGUUGAGAUUACAGAACCAGGUGCAGAUGGUAAUGUGCUUAUUCAGUUUGGGAGAAGAAUAAGUAGUACAUCCCUAACACGGUGCCUGUAGUUGUUACUAGAGCUUGGGUCUCAUUAAGGCAUCAAGCAGACAAAACACGCUGCUAACAAUUUUUGUCAAGACUUCCAUGUAUAAAGCACUGCACCAGCUAGCCAAGUCCUCCAAAAAGUGAUCACAUGAACUGGAUUCAAAUUGCAAGAAUAAUGUUCAUAAUUCAGACUUGGAUUCAGCGUCUUCCUCCAGUGAAUUAUCAGUUUGAUAGUCCUGUGAUUGGUUGGGGGACACAAGUUCUUGAGGAUUUACUUCAUCACCUAAGAUUUUUGCCUGUGAUUGGUUGGGGGAAACAAGUUCUUGAGGAUUUACUUCAUCCCCUAAGAUUUUUGCAGUGAAGUGUCUCGCCUCAGAGUCAAGAUUAACCCAUUCCGAAACUAUUCUUUUUGCGCCCUGAAAAAAACCGAGAAAUGAAUAGAUUCUUGAAAACAUAGAAAGUGUUGUGAGCAAAUGAAUGAUGAAACGUGGUGUUGGUUAUAGAAACAAGUCAUAUUUGUAGAAUCAUGGCUCCAAAGGAAGAAUCACCUGAAGCUUGGGUUCCUUUGUCAUGGGAUUGUUGCAAAGAUCAAUAGUUUUUGCUCUGGAUUUCGUAGCAUUACCACACCAUGAUUCGCACCACAACCAUUCUUGAGGCAGUGAAAAGAUGGGUACUGUAUGCUGAGCAUAGUUCGGAAGAUCCUGAACAAGGAAAAGGAAGCAACCUUUUAACACAAUCUAGUACGUGAAAGAAUAUCACAGACACAAAUAAAACAGUACCCAACAAGAUCCAAUACUGUGUGAGGAUAUCCAUUCCAAUUGCAAACUCUCAUAUAAUUAUGUAUACAGCUGAGCCAAACCUUAUUAUAACACAUAUACUACCUGUUGUACUACACAGGCAAUAAGCAACAACUUGAAUGGAUAUCCAAGUAUUUAAUGGAUAUACUGCCUGUUGUACUACACAGGCAAUAAGCAAUAAGCAACACAUAAACCUGGAAGACUGUCUCUGGUAGUCAACGGUGGAUAAUUGAAUGCUUUUGGUGAUAAUACAAAAACUUUUUCAAGCAGUCAACAACAAUCAUUAGAGUUCCAAGUAUUUAAUGAAGAUUAUAGAUAAUGUACCAAGUGACAAUACAUACAGGCAAAAUUUAAUAAAGCAAAUUUGAUGAUGAUUCCUCCACUAAAUGGCAUGAUAAAGUUUCCUCCUUGGAAAGUGGAACCCAGUAAAUGGACCCAUGUCCAGAAAUAACAGCCUGCUAAUGAAUUAUAGCAAAAACUGUCCAUGCAUAAUUGCAGCCAGCUAGCUGCAUCUCCAGCUACCUCCCACGCAGCAUUGCUGCCAGCAAGCAGUCAAUUUUCUAAACUUGAUUAGAAUAUAUAAAAUUGAGCAGCACUCCAUCACCUGAAGGGUGGGCAUGGACCAAUUGCAUGAAGUUUUAUAGCCAUUAGACCCACAAAUCUCAUGGCUAAAAACCUUCAUAUGACAUAUUCAUGUACCAUAUUUUAGGACACCAUGAGUACAUUGUUUGUUUAUUCCCGAAUUCUCUUUUUCCUUUAUUUUUCUUGUUUUAUGUAGAGCAGGCUCAUGCAAAUGUAAUGCAGGAGCAAUGAAAGAACUUCAAAAAAACAAUUGUUUCAGAAAAAUUACAUUUAUUUUACUAGAGAUACAAUUUUAUCUUAUUUAUAAGUUAGGUACUUAGAUUUACUGUGACAUUAAUUAAUUAGAAAGUUUACUAUUUUAGGAGUUUAUUCUAUUUCCUACUUGGUUUUGGUCUAUUUUACUUAGAUGCGUGUAACUCAUACCUAGGAAGAUGAAGAUGAUGUCAUGAAUUGCAGAAAUAUUAUGAUGAAUAACUUUAAAAUGAUGAAUUUGCCAGAAAAUCUUCUCUCCAUUCUUGUCCUCUAGUGCUCCAGGUGAUCUCUUAUCACUCUCCCACUCAAAGCAAAAUAAAGAUAAUUUGUGUGCGUGAAGUUUGAAUUUGUUUACUCUUAACAUUUUCUCUUCAUAUCCGAUCAACUAAGCCAAACAAAAUCAUUCAAAUUCAGAGAGAACAGUGACACAGGAAAUUCUAUACACAACAACAAUUUUGACAGAUCACUGAAAUAGUAUGGUAUGCGAACUAAGUGAGCACAUCAAACACAGUGAUUAUAAGAAAAAUCAGGUUGACUAGUUACCUGAUCCAAAUUUGAAAGACUAUUUGGAUCCUUGCUCAGUGUUUCAUAGAAAACCCUUAGAUUAUCUCCUGCAGCUGUCUCUCGAAAUUUAACCAGAUCAACAAUGUACAAAGCACUGGAUAAGGAAGAGCACAUGUCAAGCUCAUGGCUGGGUCUAAGAACUGAACCAACUCUAAAGAAUAAAUUAACAAAAAAGAUUGCUUACCUGAUAUGAUAUGGUCUUCCCCGCAAAUGUUCUUUCCAGAAUCCCUGUACCACACAAAAGAAUGGGAAAAGAUAAGGAAACAGUGAUUAGAUGGCAAGUUGCCUAGGCCUUCCAUGGCACAAAAUGAAUUUAUGGCAAACUAUCUUUAAAAGGGGGGAAGACUAAUCAGUGAAGUAUACUUGGCUCCAAAAUCGAUAUCCAUCCAUAUCCCUGUUGUUAUCACAGAAUGGUGUAUAAGCAAGAGGUCUUCCUUUUAUAUCCAUGUCAUACAGUUCUCCCAUGUCUGCUCGCACAACCUGAUCAGCAUCAACAAAUAUAACCUGCAUAUGGAACCAUUGAUGCGUUUUUAAGCAAAUGUUUAAUAAAUAUGGAGUCAAUAGCAAGAGAAUACAACCAAGUUUUGACAAAAAAGAAAGAGAAAAACUGCUAUACCCUCUCCAAAGAAAGUGGAAAGAUAACAUCAAGGAACAAAAUCUUAUAUGCCCAAAUAAUUCGCUGCUUUUCUGUCUGCUUAUGCAACCAUGAUGGCCAUUUAUAAGUGACCAGUUCGUACUCAAAACCAUACUCUUGUGCCAUAUGUGGAAUCACAUCCUGCACGAUUCAUUAACAACCAGAGAAUGCACACAAGUCAGACAAUAAAAUUAGAAAACAAUAUGCGAGUGACAACUAUAGAUGAAAUAAAUACAACCUUAAAUUGCGGAGAGAGAUAGUUCUUUAUAAACCAAAAUUUCACUGGACGCUGGGUGUUCUUCCAGACACUUAGAAUCAUGAUUUUAAGGAAACGUUCAUAUCUGCCACGCUCAAAACACAUAAUGAAAUCAUUAUGAUAUUACAUUAACCAAGCAUUAUGAGGUGUACAAGCAGAUGAGUGUGAUAGUGAGACCCAGAGUAAAUAGGUCCAAUAAACGGGCUGCUGCAGCUCACACUUUUUUUGCUAAUACUAAGUGUGAUAGUGAGACCCAGAGUGAAUAGGUCCAAUAAAUGGGCUGCUGCAGCUCACACUUUUUUUGCUAAUACAACAAUUGCAUUGAACAAACAGCAAAUGUGUGUGUGUGUGUUACCAGGAAGAAAACUGACAGCUAUACAGGUUUAUCUAUGAAGCGCACAAAUGAAAGUUCCUCAGUUCCACAUACAAGUUCUCAUUCAAAACUUUCAGCACAUGGCUGUUUGAGCUUGUUGCUUACAUUGUGAUCACAGAACAGAAAACAAUCUCAGAAAAGAUUCAUAGGGGCUAAUUUUAUUAAAUCCAGAACAGUUAAUCCUCUAAAAUUUCGCUUAGCUCACUUUGGUUUUUCAAAUUUCUAGAAAUAAAAAAGAUAUACAUAAUGCAGAAUACAUUAAGGUUCUGUUUGGAUACCAGGCAGGAUUGAGAAUCAAGGAUUCAUAAUCUGUUCAUUUAGCAAAAUUGGAAGGGAAAUUGGAAUUGAAAUGGCUAAAUGGGAACCCGAAAGAACUUUCAAUACAAUUCUAUAUCCAGGCGGUAAGCAUUUCUACUAUUUAUAAUCUCAUUCCCAUUCCAAUAUUUAUAAUCUCAUUCCUGCAUUUUCAUGCUGGUAACCAAAAAGGACUAACUUCACAUCAGACAGCAGAAGACAACAUAGAAUAGAAGACAAGCACAAAUACGGAGAAAAUAAGAAAAGACUUACAGAUGCCCAGAAGCAAUAGAGAAGAUAUUAAUAGUUUUUCCAUGCCGUCCACUCUUCUCAUGCUCCUAAAGGAAUAAUUUUUAACCAAUCACCAUCUAAAAGAAUAAUGAAAGCAGAUGUGCACCACUGAAUUUGUUUUCCAGUGCUGGUAGAUGUAAUAGUCAGUUUUCCAUUAAACAAAGCAACUCAAGAGCUAGUUCUCAUAGCCAAAGAUAAAAUUUUAACAGCACACUAAAACAUCAGAAAAUGACUUGAGAAAAUGAUUGACAAAGAAGAGAACUUGGAUUUUCAUGACAGCAACCAUUCUGAUACCCUAUGGACUGUAAAAAACAAAAUUAUCCAGUCUUCAAACAAAAUUAGCUAAUAUUCCAUCUGGACUGUAAAAACAGUCCACUAUUUGAUUUUUUCCCAUCCCUAAAUGUCAGUCCGUACUAUAAAGUUGAUGAAUGGUUGUUUACUGCCCCAUUGUAUGAUGCAUCAACAAUCUAAAUAUAUCAUUGAAUCAAAAGGUGCAUCUUUAUUAUUAGGGGCAAAUUUGACACUGUGCAACACUUACCUACAUUUUGAAUAAUUGCUGAACACAAUGUGCAAAACUCAAAAUAAACUAUUAUUAGAACCAGAGGUAGUAUAAAAUCCAGAAAGAAAUGACAGGGAACCAUAAAGAUGCCCCUACUUGGUUGGAAAAACAAUUCAUUAAGAACCAAACAGAAAGCAGCAAAGAAUAGCAGGGAAACAAACAAUUGUCCAACGAGUACAUUAAACAGCCAGAAAAAGAUGAUGAAAGAUCAUAUUUCUAAAAUCAGCGCACUAUGAAUCCACAAACGCUAUAGAGAGGACUAUAAGUAUAAAAUCAGAGAGCCAGCACAAUCCACCAAGGCACUGUGAAAAUCUGAAUAAUUUAAGUAUAACAGCAGAAACAAGUAAGUGAACAAAAAUUAACUCACCAUUAAAGCACUCUCAUUCUUCUUGGAAAGCCCGCCGCCGCCAAUAAAGCCAGAAGCCCAUUUAAACAAAUUGGAGUUCCAGCUAUCAUGAGUUCCCUGUAAAAAUUUCCCCAAAACCAUUCUAAGGAUGCAAGACUUAACCAAAUUAUCCAGCUGUGGUUGUCCUUGAAAUUAGUAAUAAUUAUAAGCCAAUAUAACAAGAACUGACCUUCCUUUGUGAAUUGUUAUCAUCAUCACUUGAAAUGAGCAGUUUCUCAUGCUCCAUGCCCUUUUUCUUCACCACUUCUAGAUGAACUACCUUGCCUCGCAAAUCAUUAAUAGUGAUAAGUUUCGACAGAUGCUUUUCCUGACUUCCAUCACCACCUUCCCUAAAAGCAUAAAGCUCAGAGCUUCGACCUGGAGCAAGUUGAAGAUACCACACCCCAGGAGAGACUUUCAUUUGCCAAUAACCCAAAUUGGCCAUCACAAGUGUAUCAACCAAGUGAGGAUUACUCUUAGUUCCAAGAAUUAGCUGAAGUCCUCGGGGGGGUUCAUGAUCUUUCUCUGAACAAUGACCUAAAUAAAACAGUGCACAAAUAAGUAUGAAAGAAUUGGUAGUCAUAUGAUGAAACUUACAGGGAAACACCAAAUUAUAAUAAGAAAUUACUCAAAAGAAACAGAAUCUAACCAGUAAGAACAAGUGCUUCAAGUUCAAAAACUGCUUGCAAUGUUCUAGUGUCACCCAGGUUCUCAAGCAAAAUAUUAUCCAAAUCAUGGCUGAAACAUUUAAAACAUUCAGCAGCAACAAGAAUAAUAAUAAUAAUAAUAAUAAUAAGCCACUGAGACAGUAAGAUUAUGUUUGCAAAACUAAAAUUAAUCCCCUACGCUUUAGUAGAAUAUAUACAAUAAAGAUGGCGACAGUAUAAAGAUGAUUUAAAAUGUAUUUGACUAGUAAAGGAACAUACACAGCAAUAACAGGCUCAACAAGCCAGGGCUCAGGAACAUCAAGGUUCAUGGUAAGAGUCUUCGAUAAUGGCAUAUUUGCAAAAAAUGCUUGAGGGCCAUUUACUGUUAAAUCAGUGCUGCUGAAAUCAUCCUGAAAAGUCAUAGCACAACUAAGAUACAAUGCAUUGGAACCUGAAAUUACCAUUCAUAAUCAAACAUAUAUACCAUGGUUGGGACCACAUAUCUAUAGUAAUUCUUCAGCGGAAGAUCAACAAGAGAACUCUGCAAGAAACCAAAAAUGUUAGUUCCUCGACAUGUAGAAAGAGACAACAAAAUGUUGAUAAAAAGCUCAUAAUGAAGAAGUUCAGCUAAAAAGCAUAUCCCAUGUGAGGCAAUGUCUCAGCUAGCAGUGCAGAUGCAAGCUAAGGCACUAAGCACCUAAGAAAAAUGUAAAGUACAUAGAAGAAGACAGCAUACAUGCCUUACAAAUCCAUCAUAUGUUUAGGCAAUUUUGCAAUUCAUGAUACAGAAUAAAAACUAAGAAAAAGUGAGAAAAAAAUAAUUAGAAGCAAUCUAGGAACAUGAAUCCAAAAAGAAAACGAGAGAGAGAGAGAGAGAGGUCAUUUGCUGGCAUUGUUUCUGCCAGAACAAGGCCCAGCUAAGCAUAAUAUGGAAAAUAAGUCCUAAUCUUUCACCAGAAAAUAAAGACACAGAGGUCAAUGCCUGUAAAGAAGUGGCUGCUCCCAGCCAGAUGGCAAUCCAAACAAACUUCUCAAGGUGACUGUUUAUAUGGCAGCAUCUUUCUAAUAAAAGAGUGUCAGAGAGGCAAAAACCUUACUAUAUUGUUUGAGAAAAGAAAACCUAUUUGGCCUACUUGGAUCAGGUUGCCUUUGCAUCUAUAAAGCAGACACCAAUGGAUUGUGAUCAAAUCCCAGCUUCCAAGUUAGCAGCUACUAAUUUCAAAAGAUUAAAAAUAUUCAGGGAAUUAAUUCAACUUGUCCUUUUUAUUUUAGACUCCAUCUCCAAUUUGUCCCUAAAUAUAGGGUCCAUCAAUCUAUCCUUCUAUUAGACAUUCUAUCCAAACUAACAGAAAUGCACAUACAUGAAAAACUCAAAAGUCCAACCUGAUUUACUAAAAGAAAUUGAACAGAGAAAAAAGAGGAGGAAUUUUAACACCAUGCAACAAUUCAUUAUUUUUCAAAUUAAUUUUAUAAAUAAAUCAGGUUAGGUUUGGGUUUCUCAUAUAAGGGUAUUUCCAUCAAUUUGCAUGAGGACAUCCACUGAAACGAUAGAUUGAAAAAUGACCUAGAAUAUAAGGACAAAUUAGGAGCAAUUUUACUUUGAGAACAGAUUGGAGACAAGACUUGGAAUAUAAGGAGACUAGACUUAAACUAUAAGGAUAGAUUAAGCUAAUAUCCCAAAAUAUUCAAAUACUUUUCCACAAAUCUCUAAUCAGCCACAGUAAUCUUCAUCUACCUUCAGAUGUUAACAUACCACCGUUUAGAGCAUGUCAUGCUUCAGAUGUUAACAUACCAACAUUUAUGGCAUGCCAUACUAUUCCUUUUCUUUUCAUGGUUCUUUCAGAAAUUAUAUCUCGUUGUCUACCCACGAACUGCAUGCAAGAUCAUUCAUGUGGACUUUCAUAAUGUGCUAGAGAGGAUUAUAAAAAGUUAAUCAAAGCAUGACUAUAAAAGAGAAUUUUAUUCGAAUUCUACAGCCACCAUAUAAAUAAUACAUUCAACAAAAAUAGCUUCAAUUUUGCAGAAUGCAAUGCAUGUUGUGUGGAAUAGAGUUGGAUACAUAAUUUUAUUUUGAUACAUGAAAUCCAUCAUGGAUAUAAUUAAAAAAAAAAUACAGUGCUUUUUUAUCCUGUAAAUUCGUUCACUUCAUGCAAUUGCAGUAAAUCACAUAUCAUCCAACAGGUCUCCAAUCAGGCCAACUGAACCAUUGUUUGCAUGGAUUUGAAUCUUCAUGUCAGAAAACUAGCAAAACCUAAAUGCCCCAAUCCCAGUAAUAGCACUCUCUAAUUUUUACUGCUAAAUACAUAAACCACUAGGACUUAAAAAAAAAAAUUAUUAUGAACUAUUACUGGGUUUACAUAGAUACUGAUGCAAACUUGCUCUUUCAAUUACUUUUCCAAGCCGAUUGCCUAGAAAAAACUUGGCCUGCGCUUUUAUGGGUGCAAUAGAGGUUUAAAGAGAUAUAUGAUAUUCCUAAUUCUCAAGCUUCUACAGGUUUCCUUCAAUUUCUUAGUUGAACUAUUGUGACGGGAGUUUAAUUUUUGUCAAAAUCAUAAAACUUUUGGCUUUAAUAGGAUAAAAACAGAAUCUAAACUAUUCAACUAUACUUUGUAGGUAUAGAAAUCAAAGCCCACGUUUCCAACAUCCAAGUCAUUGUUUCACAUUAGGCCCUUCCUACAUAUACAAUAGAACUAAUCAACACCCCCAGAAGUUGAUGCAACAACUUUUUCUAACAACAGAGAACAUUCAUCAGUUUUCAUUCACAACACCAAAACAGAUCCAUACGCAUUGGUGCAGAGGACUGGUCAGACAAGGGGUACAUAAAGUCAAACUCUAAAGUGGCAGUGAAAAUUCUUCAUUUCAUUUAAAUGAGAUCAAAAUUGCCAAUUCGAAGGGAAAAGGCCAUGUCAGGUUGAUCUGUGCUUAAAGCAGCAAACCACCAUAGGAUCCAUUGGCCUCCAAAUUGUAUCAUCUUGGUUUAAUGGCUUUCAGAAACCACCAGAUAUGUUACAAGAAGGUAUUCAAGUUAUAUGGUUGUAGUGGCCCAAGGCUUUCAAAACUGCAGGUUGCCAAACCAGUGUAACAAAAUAAGAAAUAAGAAAAGAAAAAUGUACAAUUUGGUAAAUUUUAGCUCACCAUAGGGUUUAGCACGAUUCUCAUGCUUGGUUGAACAUAUUUCCUUAGAACUCUAAGAAGUGAAGAAACCUUCUGACCAGCUGCGCUUAAAGGAUCAACAACAGCAUCAAUAUGAACACUGGAAUUUUCAUUAUCUAUAAUAACAGCACUGCAAACAAGAAAUGAUUGUAUUAGAUUUCAAGAGCAAUCCAUUGUCAAGAAAUCAAAAGAUGACAAUCUGUAGGAAAUUACAGAAUGAUAUAUGAGAAUAAACUAUUUCCAUCAUGGUGGUCUUCCAUGAAUCCAUUACUUUAUUUUAUCUUGAACAUGCCUUUUGCAUUUGAAUAAGAAAUCUCAGUAAUUACUAAUUUUGUCCAUAAACUUGGGGAUACAAGAAGCAGGUGAUAAUCAUUGCAAUGUUGAUGAGGCAACUCUACCAAAUAGGAUUUUCAAAGGUAGGUUCACAGUGAUAAAUUGUCAGAAUUAAACAUACAAUUACCAAAUAUGAGAACAAUGUUGACUGAAUUAUUUAUCAGAAGCAAAAGAAAAAAAAAACAUGACAAAAAAAAAGUGUGAAAUACUACAGUCUGAGAAAAGAGAUGAGAUAAAAUUUGUGAUCUAGCAUUAAGUGGGAUGGCGGCGAAUGUACUAAGCAGGGCAAUUUCUCUUUCAUAUUUGUCAGAUUCAUCAGAUAUUUGACAAAAUUUGUAGUUAAUGUUGAAUAUCACCCAAUUAUAUAUACAUGGGUCACCAUAUAUUCACCAUAACAGUCAUUGUCAUUGCUACACAGCUCAAACGGAUAACAGCGGAAGUCUUCUCCCAAAAACAGGUGGGAAAAAAAACAAUCUAUGGGAUGGCAAAUAAUUCUUACCUAUGUUCAGCAUUCAAAAUCUCAAAGCGUGCACUUUCUGAACUUCUUUCCCGCAUUGCCAUUGCAGAUGAUACAUACAUUAUAAUAUCGCUGACAAAUUUGCUGCAAGUCGCAUGAGAAAAAAUAACAUAAAAUCCCCAAUGGGAAUGGAUAGGAUAUGAAAUGUUUUGAGAAGGAAUGUCAUCUAUUAAACUUCACAAAUUAAAAACUAAUCUUUGUUGAACAGAAACUACCAGCAAUGGCAUAAUUGGAAGUACAGGAGAGAGCAAAAAACUUGCAGAUAAAAAGAUUCAAAACAUUAGUCACCAAAAGUGAAUCAUACCAAAAUUGCCAAAGAGCUUCAGCCUCAGAUAUUUACUAUUUUCUUCAAUUUUCACCUAAAUUUACAGGAUCUUUUGUAGGGAGAGUUAGCUUAGUGAGUUUACAUCACAUUGAGUAGGUUCACACUUAUCUGGACCUUAUUAAGGGAUGAUCAACUUGUAGUCAAUUGGUCAACCACAAAGCUUUCUACUGGUGGAAGCGACCUCCUUUCACUUUUCAAUGAAACUUUAUUCCAGUUCUCUCAUACUACCUAAUAAAUCACUAGCUAAACCACUACAUUCCUAACCCUCAAACAACGGCUGCAUCACAUUCUACCCUCAUUCACUUGUGCAUACUCCCUAUACACUAUCUGAUAUUCUCACCUACAAUGAUGUUGGAGUUCCUUAAGUGUUGUCUACAUUUCCUCCCUCAACACUCUGUAUACAAUUAUCGAUAAUACAUCUCCAAAUAAAUUGAUUAAUUCCAUUAAAAGAACCCUACAUUAUCACCUAUUUUAAGAUCCAUAAACAAGGGGGUAAAGUGCGUGAAAUUAAACCAGUUGGCUAGUCAAGCUGAGAGCCUAGUCACUCCAACCUUCUGCAAAUGUCAAGGCAGCAGAAACACUAUCUGAAGAAACUAGAAUGAUAUGUUCUUGGAAAUGCUUUAACCCGGUGUGCUGGAUCAAUUGGAUAAAUAAGAUAAAAAGGAAAAAACUGUGUGGAAUUUCAAAUCAAAGAUGUGAAUUCAGCUCAACAAAACAUUGUGCCAAGAAUGAACACAAAUGAAAAGAAAAUGAAGUGAGCAAGGAAAAAAAAUUCAAAAGUGUUCUAGGAUACAGAACAAUGGUAUGUAAACAAUUAUAGCAACUUUCUAAAAUAGAAAUGGGCCAUGGCAAUAACUUCAAUAUUCCAUCUAACCAUUCACUAACUUCAUUUUAACAACUUCCCCACCACAUGCCCAACACCUCCACGCCCUAGCCAUUAAAAAAAGUUUGUUCCCCUCUUGCUUUAUGAUGGACAAGGUAUUAUUAGAAAACAUAUAUAAGAAUCUCAGCUACAAUUAGAAUUCUCUGAAGGGAAAAACUCAGAGACUGUGGUAGUUGGGUAUGGAAGUGGGUGAAGAUCCAGGAGCAUAAAACAAACAAACAAACCUUGUUAGCAUGUCAGGGUCUACAUCCUGCCACUGCACUUCUUCAAUAAUUUCUCCAAUGUGCUUUACUCUUUGCUUGAACUCCAUCGUCUCUAGAAGAUGUAAAUCAUGACUCAAAAAGGUGCCUUCAUCACCAGGAAACAUCACCUAUCCAAUGUUGAAGAAAAGUUAAAAACAUGAAACUGCACAACAUUGACUGAAAUUAAACAAAUUUUGAAAAACAUUGUGUGCAAAAAAAUAAAACAACAGAAAGAAAAAAAGAAAAGGAUGAGAAAUUAAACCCAUUUAACAACUUUCUGGUUAUGUUUGAGAGUCUAAUUAACUCACCCUUCCAUUGGUAAUGACCGCAUUCACUCCAGAUUCAAGCCCAAGAAGCAGGUAAAAAAAUUGUGACACCUGCAUAUCAUUGGAAAAAUUGAUGCUAUUUUCUCUUGCUCAUGGCAACAAAUGCAAAAUACCAACAUCGGGCAAACUCAAACAUAAAAAACUAAGAAAUGUUAGGGAAAAAAAGAUAGCAAGAAUUAGUAGAAGCUAGGACUACAUUUAUAAAAGAUCAUAUCUAGCAAGACCAAAAUCUUCAUUUAAAAGAUCUAUCCAUUUUAGACAAACAGAAGAUGAAAAUUAAGACAAUUUCAUGCAUGCAACAAAUACCAAUUAGCACAAAUAACAGAAAUAUAUAUACCUUAUUCAAUUGAUUUUUCACUUUGUCAGCAGAAAAUUCAGAAAGGAUGGACUUGUAGGCCUUCUGUGGUAGCUCAUUUGCAUCAGCCAGAUCAUACACCUUGUCUAUAAACGUUUGAGUGCUUUCAGCUGCUACAGAUGAUGCCAGGAUGUACUUUUGCUCAUAAAAUGAACAUAAAUGCUCCAAAAAGUUCAACACACUUUUCUUAUGACUGCAUGACACCAUAAAGAAAACAAUUAGGGCUAAUAUCAAACAAAGUUUUAUUCAUGCUGUCAAAAUAAUUUUGACUUAACAAACCUGUAAGAGGCAGUGGUGAUUUCAAAAACCUUCACAAGAAGGAGACCAGGUAAAUCAGAAUCUUGACUGGAACUAAAGAGGACACCCAAGCGAGCACCCUUAGACCCUUCUAUCUGCAUCAUAAUGUGAACAUUAAAAGAUAACCAAUGGUUGUUAUGGAGAUUUCCAACAAAGAUAAAGAUAAAUGACAAUAAAGAAAAUGAACAAAUAGAAAUACGAUUGUAAUAAAAAGCGCAACCAGAUAGCGUAUUCCUUCAUGAAGCAAGUUUAUCCCCUUCUUUGAUGUGAUGUCAACAGCAAGGAGAUGAGUUACAGGUUUCACAUCAUCUACAGCUAGAAUAUUAGGGUUAGAAAGAAGUCAGAUUACAAUAACCAUUAGUGAUUCAGUAAAAUUUCACUGUUCUCAGCGUAGAUUCUGCUUACUUCCAGGGGAAUGCAAGAAGUUAAUAUCAUUCACCACAGAUUUCCCUCCAAGAACUCCCGAAGUCAGAGAAAUAAACCUUGGUUUGGCCUUGCCUUCAGCAAUGAUCUGCACAGAAACAUCAGUAACAAAGUAUAGAAAUAUGAUGUAUGCAUAACAUCAUCAACAACCAAAGCAAAACAGAUGAAUAUGCAAUAGCAGUGUUUGAAUGAUUCACCUGUGGAUUGUAGCGGCCAAUACCACUUUCUGACAGGAAUUUGUCCAGCACAUCAGUGUGAGAAUUUAUUUGCCCAUAAUAAACUUGCUCUUGUAUUCUGGGAAGCUCAUCAUUCAUGGCGUUCAUAAGAACCUCCUAAUGAAAAUAAAACCAAAGUUUCUUAGCAGGGAAAAUAAUUUCCAUUACCAGAGGUCAACAUUACCACAACAACCAUCUUUAACUAAACAAAAGGAGGUCAAAGAAAAAUUUGCUUUAGUAUUACAGAUUUGCUUCUCCUCAAAUAAUUUUUUUUUAUUCAAGCACAUUUCACAAUAAGAUUUGGCUAUGAAAACUGUAAAGCAACAUCUUAUGAUAAUGUAUUAAAAGCUGCCCAAGUGCAAGUAUGCAAUGCAACAGAAAAUAUUAGAAUUACCUCACUAGAAUCAAAGACAAGACCGUUCAUUAAGAGGCAACACUGCAACUUGUUCAAACCCAGCUUAAACACGAACAUGGAGCUUUCUUGUGACAGUUCCUUAUAGGUUUGCUCCUUUGCCAGUUUUAGCAAUAUAUCUUGAGGAGGGGUUUUUACCUUUGGUCUACACACAUGGAAUAAUAACAUGUAGUAAGGAGGUCAUUGAUUGAAGGAAAAGGAAGCCCAGAUCUUCUAAAAGAAUUUGUAAUGCACAUGGAGAGACAUCAUGAUAGUGCAAAAAAGUUGAAAUUGCUCUGUUAACCAGAAAAACCCAUUAAAACUCACAAUAUGGUAUCCACAAAUGCUCCGUCCACAUGGUGUGUUUCAGGAACAUCAUCUUCAGAAUCUGACUCCAUGCGUAAUCUGUUUACCUGCCACACAUAUAUGAAAUUGCUUGUUAACAAAAAUCAAAAUGUACUAAAUAAAAGCAACGCACAUACAACAACAUGAAAUAUGUUUACCAUCCAACAAAGACCAUAUGCUCCUACACUUAAAAGAAUGGCAGUGAGGGAGGAAACUGUUCCGAUUUAAGCUAGCAAAAAAGGAGGGUCUAUUGAAACCUAAAAGAAAUUAAGUAAUAAGGUGGCUUGAUUAUUGACUUCAUCAAUCAAAGUGUCUUUUGGGUCAAGCAUAAGCAUCCACAGUAGAUUUCUUUGUUUAUAGUUUAAUGUAUUAACUUAAGGGUAAUUUUGUAAGAAGGGGCAGAAUUGCAACUUCUGCAAGUUCCUGGAAAGCAGAAAGUUUUGGUCAUUUUCAGGUUUAGUAUAAGAUUUGAUGUUAUCAGAAUGUGGUUUCUUAGCCUUCAAUAAUUUAUUCCAAUUCAGUUGUUUUCCUAGUCAUGUUAGGAUUAGCUAUGCCACUUCAGUUUAGAAGUAGUAGUGUGAUAAGCCGUCCUAAUUGUUGGGCCAUUCUGUCACACCCGACACUAAUCACUAUAAAUAGAGAUGCAAUGUCU